rnacentral:rRNA from 1 species
AUUGAACGCUGGCGGCAGGCCUAACACAUGCAAGUCGAGCGGAUGAGGGUAGCUUGCUAUCUGAUUCAGCGGCGGACGGGUGAGUAAUGCCUAGGAAUCUGCCUGGUAGUGGGGGACAACGUUUCGAAAGGAACGCUAAUACCGCAUACGUCCUACGGGAGAAAGUGGGGGAUCUUCGGACCUCACGCUAUCAGAUGAGCCUAGGUACGAUUAGCUAGUUGGUGAGGUAAAGGCUCACCAAGGCGACGAUCGUUAACUGGUCUGAGAGGAUGAUCAGUCACACUGGAACUGAGACACGGUCCAGACUCCUACGGGAGGCAGCAGUGGGGAAUAUUGGACAAUGGGCGAAAGCCUGAUCCAGCCAUGCCGCGUGUGUGAAGAAGGUCUUCGGAUUGUAAAGCACUUUAAGUUGGGAGGAAGGGCAGUAAGUUAAUACCUUGCUGUUUUGACGUUACCGACAGAAUAAGCACCGGCUAACUUCGUGCCAGCCGCCGCCGUAAUAC